CUAAUUAGCAUUUUAGUGAGCUCUCUUUACUACCUGAUUGGUCAGGUGUGAGCUAAGUUGCAAGCCCCGUGUUUAAAGGCGGAUGUGGUCACCUUCCCAGCUAGGCUUAUGGAUUCUUAGUCGGCCUAGGAAAUCCAGCUAGUCCUGUCUCUCAGUGGGGGUGGUUACUCUCAUGCUGUUCUCAUGAUAGUGAGUUCUCACAAGAUCUGAUAGUUUUAUAAAGGGCUUUUCCCCACCUUCGCUCUGCACUUCUCCUUGCUGCUACCAUGUGAAGAAGGAUGUAUUUGCUUCCCCUUCUGCCAUGAUUGUAAGUUUCCUGAGGCCUUCCCUGCCGUGUGGAACUGUGAGUCAAUUAAACCUAUUUCCAUUAUAAAUUAGCCAGUCUCAGGCAAUUCUUUAUAGCAGUGUGAGAAGGAACUAAUACAGGGCCUUUGCACUUGCUGUGACCUCUGCCCUGGGAAAUCUUCCCCUAUAUAUUUAAAUCUCUCACCUUCUUCACCUACUCAAAUGUUACAUUCUCACUGACACCCCUGACCUCUCUGAAAUUCAUUCCCUGCAAGGCCACCUCUGUACACUCUAUCCCUCUUUCCGUUUUAUUUUGCUGUAUAGCAUUUUUUUUUUAAACAGGAUCUUGCUCACCCAGGCUGGAGUGCAGUGGCACCAUCGUAGCUCACUGCAGCCUUGAUCUCCUGGGUACAGCAUUUUUUAAACAUAGCCUGUAAUCAGUUAAAAUUCUAACGUGCAUAAUACUGACACAUUUUAUUAUUUUGUUAUUAUCUGACUCUCUCUACUGCUAAAAUAUAAACUCCAGGAGGACAGAGAUUUGUGUCUGCCGUAUAUGCAGCCAGUACUUAGAACCAGUGCUUGGCAUAUAGGAAUAACUACUGGAGCUUCAAGCACAGGCUGCUAGGAAUGGGAAGAAAACGAAUUUGAGAGGCACUGUGCAAAAGACAACAGGUGUGACUUGCUGCCUGUGGAGGAGGGUGAAGGGGAAGAAAGCGUCAAAGACAUUCUGAAGGUUCAAGCCUGUAUGACUGGGAAGAUGGGGACACUUGCAAAAUGUAGGAAGAUAAGAGAUGCCACCACUUGGAAGGAGACGGGGGAAUGAUGAGACAAUCUCGAUGUUCCUAACUGCAUACCCCAGCAGAGGCCUUUUAAAAGCCUCGCUGUGCUGAAACGGAUGAAAAAUCCUGUCCACUGCUUAGUACUAUUUGAUUCACGUUGGCUGCCAAACAGAUUAUCACAAAAUGUAGUGGCAUAAAGCCACCAUUUAUUAUACUCACAGAUUCUGUGGGUCAGGAAUUCAGACAGGGCACAGCAGGGACAGCUUUUCUCUGAAGUCUGGGGUCUCUACUAGAGAGCUUGAAGGCUGGACGCUGGAAGCAUCUGAAGACCAGCCUAUUCUUGUGUCUGGAGGUCAAGGCUGGCUGUCAGCUUGAGGCCUUAGUUUUUCUCCAUAUGGGUGAAUCUGGGCUUCUCACAGUGUGGUAGCUGACUUCCCCAGAGCAAUUGUCUAACCCCAGCUCUUGAAAAAAGUGAGUCAGCUAGAAGCUGUAUCAUAACCUAGCUUAGAAAGUUACAAACCAUGGCCUCUGUUGUCCUUGUUUGGUUGGAGCAGUCGUAAGUCCCACCCAGUCUCAUAGAAUGGAACAUAGGCCCCACCUCUUGGUGAGAGGACUGCAAAAGUCACAUUGUAAGAAAAGCAUGUAGGGGUGACAUCCAUGAACAGGGAAGAAUAAGGAACAUCAAAAGUCCCUCCAAAAAAGCAAUAAAUAAACUGGCAAAAACUGCCAGAAUCAACUUUUUUAGAAUUCUAGAACCUAAGCAAAAGCUUACAGCAACCAGGAGGACUUAAUCAAGAAAGACUAACUACUUUUGCAAAAAUUAUGAGUGAGGGAAAUCUAACAUAACUGACUCCAUCUUCCUUCUAACCUCACAAGCUGUCUUUGCUCAUUCCAGGCUAACUAUAGGAGGAAUUUUGUAUUUACUUUUAUUUUUAUUUUUUGAGACAGGGUUUCACUCUGUCACCCAGGCUGGAGUGCAGUGACACACUCAUGGCUCACUGCAGCUUCGACCUCCCAACCUCAAGCAAUCCUACUGUCUCAGCCUCCUGAGUAGCUGGGACUACAGGCACAUAACCACCAUGCCCAGCUAAUUUUUGUUUUGUUUUCUUUUGUUUUGAUAGAUGGGGUUUCAUCAUAUUACCCAGGCUGGUCUUGAACUCCUGGUCUUGAGUGAUCCUCCCACCUUGGCCUCCCAAAGUGCUGGGAUUACAGGUGUGAGCCACCGUGCCUGGCCUACGAAUUUAUAGUUUAAUGUUAAAACAAAAAUGAAAAUAGUUCCUUCUCAUAACUAACCCCCUCCUUGCUCAGGACCAAAACUGCUUUUGUAAAACUAACCAAAGGCCUCAAGCUUAGAAAUGUGAUAGGGCCCUGAAUUCUGCUAAGAUGUAGGCACAAACUCUAAUCAGCCAUUGUUUCUUCUGCUAAGAUGUAGGCAGAGUUAAACUCUAACCAGUCAUUGUUUUAUAACUUGACUGUUUAAAACUACUUGGCCCGGCACGGUGGCUCAUGCCUAUAAUCCCAGCACUUUGGGAAGCUGAGGUGGGUGGAUCACGAGGUCAGGAGUUCAAAACCAGCCUGGCCAAGAUGGUGAAACCCCAUCUCUACUAAAAAUACAAAAAAAUUAGCCGGGUGUGGUUGUGGGUGCCUGUAAUCCCAGCUACUCGGGAGGCUGAGGCAGAGAAUUGCUUGAACCUGGGAGGUGAAGGUUGCAGUGAGCCGAGAUGGCACCACAGCACUCCAGCCUGGGCUAUAGAGUGAGACUCCAUCUAAAAAAAAAAAAAAAACUCUUUACUACUCAGAAGUCACAUAGCCACUGGUCACAAGAUUUGUAACUUCCCCCAAAUGCCCCUGUGGAUAACAUCACUGUUAUAAAACCUAAGACUGAUGUUUGAGAUAUUUUUCAGAUUUGAAUUUCGUAUGGACCAACUGGCACCACCCAUUAAAAAAAGUUGCACCCAGAUAUCAACUCAGCAAAAGAAUAGCAACCCCCUAUGAUUUCAUCCUUGACCCAACCCAUCAGCAUUACUCAUUCCCUAGCCUCCUGCCCACCAAACUAUCCUUGAAAAACCCUAGUCCCCGAAUUCUCAGGGAGGUGGAUUUGAGAAUUAUUUCCCGUCCAUCUGCUUGGUGGGCCCUGUGAUAAUGAAAUUAUUUGCUGCAACACUCUUGCUGCUCUUAGUGCAUUAGCUUUUCUGGGCAGUGGGCAAGAAGAACCCAGCUGGGCAAUUACAAAACUACCUGAAUCUCAGCAAAAGCUCAGGAAGCUCUGUGGUGAUUUAAGUUACCCUCCUUCUAACUCCCACUCCUGUGCUCAGUGAUGAUGGCCUUGAAGGUAAGAGCCCAGGUUUCUAGCACAGGUAAGAAUGCCAGAGGGAGCAGAAUAAUGGAUCUCAUUCACAAAGAAUUGUGGUCAUUCGUUUUGAGCUGUGCGUUUGUCUGCUUGGGCUGCUGUAACAAAAUGCUACAGACUGGGUGGCUUAAACGACAGAAAUGUAUUCUCUUACAGUUCUGGAAGCUCAAAGUCCAAGAUCAAGGUUCUGGCAGAUUUGGCUUUUAGUGAAGGCUCCUCCUGGCUUGUAGAUGCCACCUUCUCAGUGUGUCCUCACAUGGUGGAGAGUUCUCUGGUGUCUCCUCCUCCUUUUAUAAGGCCACCAAUCCAUUGGAUUAGGGCCCACCCUUAUUAACUCAUUUAAUCUUCAUUGCCUCCCAAAGGCCUUAUCUCCAAAUAUAGUCACAUUGGGGCUUAGCUAGGGCCUCAAUAUAUGAAUUUGUGGGAACACGAUUAAGUCCAUAGCAACGUAUCUGGUGGCUCCUUAGCUGAAUGGGCUUACUAUUAUCUUGCCUAACUUGGAACUCUGCCAGUUCUGAGGCAGCUACCAGGGUCCUUUGAUGAAAAGUUAAAGGCAAAUGUAUUAAUCACAACCCUGGAACAAUGGAAAACAGCUGGAGCCAACAGCAGUCUAACCAAAACGCUUGACAGAAAAGGCUAGUGAUGCUUUGGUGAACAAGGGCUUUGAAAAGCUCUGACAUUCUUGGUGUUAUGGGUUGAAAUAUGUAUCCCCCCCACCCCAAAGAUAUGCUGCAUCCUAAUUCCCAGUACAUCAGAGUGCAACCUUAUUUGGAAAUAGAAUCACUGCAGAUGUAGUUAGUUGAGAUCAUACUGGUUUAGGGUAGGCCCUUCCUCUAAUAUGACUGGUGUGCUCAUAAAAUAGCCUUGUGAAGACAUAGACACACAGGAAAAAAUGCCAUGUGAAGACAGAAGUAGAAAUUGGAGUCACGCAUUUAUGACCCAAGCAAUGGCCUGGCUUGUCAGCUGUCACCAGAAGCUAGGUGGAAUGGAACAGAUUCUCGCUUAGUGCCUCCAUAAGGCACCAACUCUGCCAACACCUUGAUUUCAGACUUCUAGCAUCUAGAACUUUGGGAGGCUAAGUUUCUUUUGCUUUAAGCCACUCAAUUUGCAGUACCUUGCAGCCCUAGGAAACUAAUACAAUAGUUAAAUAUUAAAAGACAGUAUAAAUGUAUUUGUUGUUUGCUACUCCUUUUUCUCCUAUCUGAUUUAAAAUACAACUGCAUAAAGCAAUAGUAAUAAAUCUAUGUUGAUGGGUACACAAUAUAUACAGAUGUAAUUUGUGACAAUAACAACUUAAAUGGUGGAGAAUGGAGUUAUGUGGAGCAAAGUUUUGUAUACUAUUCAAACUAAAGUGGUAGUGGCCAGGCACAGUGGCUCCCGCCUGUAAUCCCAGCUACUAGGGAGGCUGAGGCACAAGAACGGCCUGAACCCGGGAGGGGGAGGCUGCAGUGAGCUGAGAUCAUGCCACUGUGCUCCAGCCUGGGGGACAGAGUGAGACUCCAUCUUAAAACAAACAAACAAAAACUAAGGUGGUAUUAAUCAGAACUAGAAUGUUAUAAAUAUAUGUUAAUUGUACCCUCAGGGGAAAUCACUAAAAAAAAAUUCAAAAAUAUAUAUUAAAAGAGAUGACAAUGCUGGGCAUGGUAGCUCACGCCUGUAAUCCCAGCACUUCGGGAGGCCAAGGCAGGCAGAUUACCUGAGGUCAGGAGUUCGAGACCAGCCUGGCCAACAUGGCAAAACCCCAUCUCCACUAAAAUUACAAAAAUUAGUCAGGUGUGGUGGUGCACACCUGUAGCCCUAGCUACUCGUGAG
rnacentral:lncRNA from 10 species